rnacentral:tmRNA from 1 species
GGGGGUGACCGGUUUCGACUUCGGUCGGUCGAAGCAGGGGAAGCGGGCCGAGGGUUGCGGUCGUGACCUCGUAAAUCCCAGUGACCGCAAACCAAUAACUGCCAACCAGAAGCAGUCCGAGUUCGCCCUCGCCGCCUGAGCGAGGCCGAACUCUGUCGGCCCGGGAGCGUCUCCGACCCGGGAUCCGGCAUCAUGAGGAGACUCAACCUGCGCACCCGGUCGCGGGGUGUGUAGGGACACCCAACAGCGACUGAGCCCGUCGGCGACUCGCCUGCGAGAGCGCCGGGGCUGAGAAAAGCGCCUAGCAGGCUGCGCCCGGAGAAGCCCUGCCUCAUCACCGAAGGACGCGGGUUCGAUUCCCGCCACCUCCAC